GUUCUUCUCGGCGAGCGGGGAUGUAGGUGGGAUUGCGAGAAUCGAAAAGGUUGGAGAUCCCACACGCUCAGCUUCCGAGAAACUCUACGGUAAGCUUGGAGACGGACGGCUUGGACAGUGGGAGCCCUCCCCUCCACUCGGAACCGCUUUGGUAGGUGCGAACAAAAAAGAGAGAGUGUUUGCAAAUAUGCAGAUACAAAGGAGGGAGGGGGGGAUCAUACUUUGUUGAAGUCUGCUGAAAGUUGGGGAUGUCAUCUUCCUAACGAUCAAGUUAACUGGGAGAAUGGGAGAAUGGUUCUUCUCAAACGUGCUGGUGCAGACCAUACGCUGGCACCGCAGAGACCGGGGUUUCAGAUCAUUGAGUCCAGACAAAAGUUUUGUAGGUUGCCAGUGAAAGGAUGCGGAUGAGGGCUGAGGUUUAGAGCGAGAGCCAGGGCUCUAGGGCCUGCCUGUGAUUGGCUGGCCGAUUCGUCCACAGCGGGGAGGUGCCACCUCACCUGGGCUCAGAGCAGACUGUGAGAACCUAUCGGCUCCCCCUCCUCUGCUCGCCACCUGUCCCCC
ensembl:lncRNA